rnacentral:rRNA from 1 species
GGCUUAACACAUGCAAGUCGAGGGGAAACGACAUCGAAAGCUUGCUUUUGAUGGGCGUCGACCGGCGCACGGGUGAGUAACGCGUAUCCAACCUGCCCAUCACUUGGGAAUAACCUUGCGAAAGUAAGACUAAUACCCAAUGACAUCCCACGAAGGCAUCCGAAUGGGAUUAAAGAUUUAUCGGUGAUGGAUGGGGAUGCGUCUGAUUAGCUUGUUGGCGGGGUAACGGCCCACCAAGGCAACGAUCAGUAGGGGUUCUGAGAGGAAGGUCCCCCACAUUGGAACUGAGACACGGUCCAAACUCCUACGGGAGGCAGCAGUGAGGAAUAUUGGUCAAUGGGCGAGAGCCUGAACCAGCCAAGUAGCGUGCAGGAAGACGGCCCUAUGGGUUGUAAACUGCUUUUAUAAGGGAAUAAAGUGGGUCACGUGUGACUUUUUGCAUGUACCUUAUGAAUAAGGACCGGCUAAUUCCGUGCCAGCAGCCGCGGUAAUACGGAAGGUCCGGGCGUUAUCCGGAUUUAUUGGGUUUAAAGGGAGCGUAGGCCGGAGAUUAAGCGUGUUGUGAAAUGUAGAGGCUCAACCUCUGCACUGCAGCGCGAACUGGUCUUCUUGAGUACGCACAACGUGGGCGGAAUUCGUGGUGUAGCGGUGAAAUGCUUAGAUAUCACGAAGAACUCCGAUUGCGAAGGCAGCUCACGGGAGCGCAACUGACGCUGAAGCUCGAAAGUGCGGGUAUCGAACAGGAUUAGAUACCCUGGUAGUCCGCACGGUAAACGAUGGAUGCCCGCUGUUGGCCUGAAUAGGUCAGCGGCCAAGCGAAAGCAUUAAGCAUCCCACCUGGGGAGUACGCCGGCAACGGUGAAACUCAAAGGAAUUGACGG